UGUACUUUAAUUUUGAGAUAAGCUUAUGUUUCCUUUGAACUCAGUAACUAUUUAGUUUCAAGUAUGGGAGGUUGUGAACACUGAUAGACAGUUUCGAGUAUGUUAGAGCUAGGAAAACAGGUGUUUAUGAAACACACCAGUAUACUUUUAUACAUUUCAUACUAACACUACACAUUUUCCCUUACAUAGCCUCCCUAUCGAUGUUCAGUGUAACAGAGCCCUUUGGCAGUUUACAAAAAAACCUGUGACAGUUGAACCAAUUCUCUAUCACACAGGAACUUUCUUCAAUCAAAUAAAGAAUUUCAAAAUAACCCAGAGAAAUGGAAUCAGACUUCAUGUUCCAACAGGGUUGUUUCCAGCUGUUAGCCAUGUAUCAUUUCAGGGGGCCUUCUGGGGAACUUCAUUUAUU
rnacentral:lncRNA from 1 species